rnacentral:rRNA from 1 species
GACGAACGCUGGCGGCGUGCUUAACACAUGCAAGUCGAACGAAGUGGCGAACGGGUGAGUAACGCGUAAUCAACCUGCCCUUCAGAGGGUGACAACAGUUGGAAACGACUGCUAAUACCGCAUACUGAAGGAGGGGAUUGCGUCUGAUUAGCUAGUUGGAGGGGUAACGGCCCACCAAGGCGAUGAUCAGUAGCCGGUCUGAGAGGAUGGACGGCCACAUUGGGACUGGGACUCGGGCCAGACUCCUACGGGAGGCAGCAGUGGGGAAUCUUCCGCAAUGGACGGAAGACUGGCGGAGCAGCGCCGCGUGGGUGAGGACGGCCUUCAGGUUGUAAAGCUCUGUUAAUCGGGACGCGGUACCGGAAUAGAAAGCCACGGCUAACUACGUGCCAGCAGCCGCGGUAAUAC